UUUAUGGAGAGUUUGAUCCUGGCUCAGGAUGAACGCUGGCGGCGUGCCUAAUACAUGCAAGUCGAGCGAACAGAUAAGGAGCUUGCUCCUUUGACGUUAGCGGCGGACGGGUGAGUAACACGUGGGUAACCUACCUAUAAGACUGGAAUAACUCCGGGAAACCGGGGCUAAUGCCGGAUAACAUGUUGAACCGCAUGGUUCUACAGUGAAAGACGGUCUUGCUGUCACUUAUAGAUGGACCCGCGCCGUAUUAGCUAGUUGGUGGGGUAACGGCCUACCAAGGCGACGAUACGUAGCCGACCUGAGAGGGUGAUCGGCCACACUGGAACUGAGACACGGUCCAGACUCCUACGGGAGGCAGCAGUAGGGAAUCUUCCGCAAUGGGCGAAAGCCUGACGGAGCAACGCCGCGUGAGUGA
rnacentral:rRNA from 1 species